CGUGGCGGUGGCGUGUCCCUGUGUCCCAUGAUGGUGGCAUGUCCAUGCCAGUGACACAUCCGUGUCUGUGACGGUGGCGUGUUGGCAUCCGUGUCCCAUGACGGUGACGUGUGUACGUCCCUGUCCCGUGACGGUGGCAUGUCCGCACCCAUGACGGUGCCAUGUCCGCAGCGGUGGCGUGUCCGUGUCCGCGGCGGUGGCGUGACGGUGACGCGUGUCCCUCCCCCGGCAGGUGGCCUUCGAGCGGGGCGGCGUGUGCGUGCACACGCGUGUGCGGCGGCCCUGGGCCCCCGAGGCGCCGCUGGCCGGCGUGCUGCGCCUCCUGGAGCGGCCCGGGGCAGUGACGCUGCAGUGGGAACCCCUGGAGCGGCC
rnacentral:lncRNA from 1 species